AUGCGAUUAUUGCGUUCGACUGUCAAUUACAUACAGUCCUUGGUCAUUGAGAAUUUAUUUAAUGGUACAAAGUGUUUGGUUUGCCGCCACCGCCGCCGCCUCCAUCGUUUCGCGCGAUGAUUAAACAAUUCACCGCCGCCGCCACCGCCGCCGUCGAAAGCAGGCCACCAUUCUUAGAAGAGCCAUUCUAAGGUGGGUCUCGAGAUUAAUGAUUACGAUAUAUUACCGAACCGGAAGGCGGAAGCUUUUCGAAACCCCAGAGAAGAUAUCUACGCGUACAUGCCCGCCGCCUCCGAUGGUAUUUAAAUUAAGAGAGAGUGUUUCACUUACCAACAACAGUCAAUUGAAUUGGUUUUCCGUUGACGACGAAACCAAAUGGAUCCUCCGCCUCGCACUGCCAUCUGCCGUCAUCCUCAAGACGCAC